GUAUUUUAUUUUUCUUUUGCUUGAAAUAGGGUGAGCCCGUUGUUGUGGAGUGAGAGCCUCACAUACGGGAGAACAGUGCAUUUCUUGAUGCACUUGGGUCACUGUUGACAGUGUCUGCAGGAAGACUGGCCUCUUUAUGAAACCAGCCUUACUGUGCAUCUUAGCUGUGUUUAUGAAAUGAUGUUCUUGUACUGGGCCUUCUCUUGACUGCUUUGAGGAAAAUGCUGUGAGCCUGGAAGCCCUGGAAUCUUGGCACUUGCCAAUAGUGUGCAAACGCAGGGAGCAGGGACCUGGAAGGCAGGGAACUGGCCAAUGUGUUCUCUAGUUUCCUUUCCCUCACGCUUCUCUCUCCCCUGUUGUUUUUCAGGUAGUGAAGCUGAUUUUAGCUCCUCGAGCAGCACAGGCAGCAUUUCCGCUCCUGAGGUCCAUAUGUCGACUGCGGGAAGCAAGCGGUCUUCUUCUUCACGCAAUCGAGGUCCUCAUGGGCGGAGUAAUGGAGCUUCGUCACACAAGCCUGGCAGCAGCCCAUCAUCCCCGCGGGAAAAGGACCUUCUGUCCAUG
rnacentral:lncRNA from 1 species